GCCGUCUCCGAUUGUCCUGGAUAUGCACUGCCGAGACGCUAGCACCGUGUUCAUUUUGGCGGGGCCGCUCGGUUGUCCCCGGCCCCGCUCCGUGAUCUCUGGUCCCGCUCCGGCUCCCUUCAACUCCGCUCGACUCCCUUUUUGCACGAUUUCUCCGUAUGAUGGUAUCUAGUAGCAUUCUAAUGUCCUCAGACUCUGCUUUAAUGUCUUUUACUGUUCCAGAUAACAAUCGCCAAGUUGAGAUCGGAAGAGGACA